GCUCCGUUGGUGAACCAGCGGAGGGAUCAUUACAGGACUCGCAAGACUCCUACAACCCUGUGAACUUAACUAUAAGCACGUUGCUUCGGCGGGUGUCUCGGAGGGGGUUCUCCCUCCCCGAGACGCUAAACCCGCCGGCAGCCUACUAUACUCUGUCUCUUUGCGUUGGCAUCUCGAGCACAAUCAAACAAGUUAAAACUUUCAACAACGGAUCUCUUGGUUCUG
rnacentral:misc_RNA from 1 species